GGGGAGUACGGUCGCAAGAUUAAAACUCAAAGGAAUUGACGGGGACCCGCACAAGCGGUGGAUGAUGUGGAUUAAUUCGAUGCAACGCGAAGANCCUUACCUGGUCUUGACAUGUACGGAACCCUCCAGAGACGGAGGGGUGCNUUCGGGAGCCGUAACACAGGUGCUGCAUGGCUGUCGUCAGCUCGUGUCGUGAGAUGUUGGGUUAAGUCCCGCAACGAGCGCAACCCUUGUCAUUAGUUGCCAUCAUUAAGUUGGGCACUCUAAUGAGGCUGCCGGUGACAAGCCGGAGGAAGGUGGGGAUGACGUCAAGUCCUCAUGGCCCUUAUGACCAGGGCUUCACACGUCAUACAAUGGUCGGUACAGAGGGUAGCCAAGCCGCGAGGUGGAGCCAAUCUCACAAAACCGAUCGUAGUCCGGAUUGCACUCUGCAACUCGAGUGCAUGAAGUCGGAAUCGCUAGUAAUCGCAGGUCAGCAUACUGCGGUGAAUGCGUUCCCGGGUCUUGUACACACCGCCCGUCACACCAUGGGAGUGGGGGAUACCAGAAGUAGGUAGGGUAACCGCAAGGAGCCCGC
rnacentral:rRNA from 1 species